UGGUUGGUUUCUCUGUGAUUGUCGCCCUCUGAAACUGAAUUGAAAAAUGGGUGUUCGUUCAAUCUCAUGGAUUCAUGUGUUGAUUUUAAAUUCAAGAUGAGGAAAGGGAAUUUAGGUCUUCUUAUUCUGGAUUUCGGAACAAAGGGGGGUGACUCUUCAUUUAUUUUUCGGUCCUAAACAACCCUUCUUUCUCAUUUUUGUUUUCGUCUCUUGAGAUGAAUUAGCCUUUUAGUGUUCUCAGCUGUAUAGUAAAGGCGAGAAAUUUCAGAAGUUAAAUACAAGGACAAGGAUUAGGGAAUGUACGGAAUAGUUGGGUUAUGCUCGGACUCGACUUUCAGGUCAAGAAAGCUAGCUAUGGAAGUGAGCCAAAACUUCACAAUAAGGUCCCCUUCUCAAACACAAAUGACAGCACUUCAAGUGUUUGACAAAAAGCCUGAAAGGAGAGAAGAAGGGGUAAGAAUCCUUAUUUGCCUUCUUUUUCUUAUGUAUUUCAGUAGUGGUAUGAGCGAUAGGGCUUGAUGUGUAUACUUAUUUAAGCUACUAUCUGACUGUGAUUCUAUUUUAGUCUGGAGUUGAUCAGACAUUAAGUUAAUUAAGAAAAGCAAGCUUGCAUGCAGCCAUAGUAUGGCUUUAAUCUUUCUACUGGUGACCAUUAUUGUUACUUGCAUAUAUCACUAUUAUUACCUACAUAUAUGGGUUGUUCGCUUCCCUUCUCGUCA